UACGGGGGGGGCAAGCGUUGUUCGGAAUUACUGGGCGUAAAGGGCUCGUAGGCGGCCAACUAAGUCGGAUGUGAAAUCCCCAAGCUUAACUUGGGAACUGCAUCCGAUACUGGAUGGCUUGAAUCCGGGAGAGGGAUGCAGAAUUCCGGGUGUAGUGGUGAAAUGCGUAGAGAUCCGGAGGAACACCAGUGGCGAAGGCGACACGCUGGGUCAUACCUGACGCUAAGACGCGACAGCAGGGGGAGCAAACGGG
rnacentral:rRNA from 1 species